GAAUAUUGGGCAAUGGGCGAGAGCCUGACCCAGCCAUGCCGCGUGCAGGAAGACGGCCUAUUGGGUUGUAAACUGCUUUUAUACGGGAAGAAAAGGCCCAUGCGUGGGACAUUGCCGGUACCGUAUGAAUAAGCACCGGCUAACUCCGUGCCAGCAGCCGCGGUAAUACGGAGGGUGCAAGCGUUGUCCGGAUUUAUUGGGUUUAAAGGGUGCGUAGGCGGCUGUUUAAGUCAGUGGUGAAAGACUCCGGCUCAACCGGGGCAGUGCCAUUGAUACUGGACAGCUUGAGUGUUGGAGGGGUACAUGGAAUUGAUGGUGUAGCGGUGAAAUGCAUAGAUACCAUCAGGAACACCGAUAGCGAAGGCAUUGUACUGGCCAACAACUGACGCUGAGGCACGAAAGCAUGGGUAGCGAACAGGA
rnacentral:rRNA from 1 species